rnacentral:rRNA from 1 species
UGCGGGGAUGAGCUGUGGAUAGCGGAGAAAUUCCAAUCGAACUCGGAGAUAGCUGGUUCUCCCCGAAAUAGCUUUAGGGCUAGCCUCGUUUUAAAUUACCGGGGGUAGAGCACUGAAUGGGCUAGGGGGCCACAAAGCUUACCGAACCCUAUCAAACUUCGAAUACCGGAUAAUUGAUGAUCGGGAGUCAGACAGUGUGAGAUAAGUUUCAUUGUCGAAAGGGAAACAGCCCAGAUCUACGACUAAGGUCCCAAAGUUCAAGUUAAGUGGAAAAGGAUGUGCAAUUGCGUAGACAACCAGGAUGUUGGCUUAGUAGCAGCCAUUCAUUCAAAGAGUGCGUAAUAGCUCACUGGUCGAGUGAUUGUGCGCCGAAAAUGUAACGGGGCUAAACUUGACACCGAAGUCUAGGCAGAAGUAAACUUCUGGGUAGGGGAGCAACGUGUACGGGCAGAAGCAGAAGCGGAAGCGACUGUGGACUGUACAGGAGAGAGAAUGCCGGCAUGAGUAGCGAGAGCAAAGUGAGAAUCUUUGCCGUCGAAAGCCUAAGGUUUCCUGAGGAAGGCUCGUCCUCUCAGGGUAAGUCGGGACCUAAGCCGAGGACAAUAGUCGUAGGCGAUGGACAAUCGGUUAAUAUUCCGAUACCGCCGAGCAACCGGAUGCAGUGACACAGAAGGAUAGGCAGAGCGUGGCGAUGGUAGACCACGUCCAAGCAGUGAGGCUGUUGUGUAGUGAAGUACGCACAACGGAAGGCUGGGCUGUGAUGGGGAACGAUUACGAUCGGUAAGCUGCUGAAUUCACGCUGGCGAGAAAAGCUGCUACGAAGCGAAGGCGCCCGUACCGCAAACCGACACAGGUAGGCGAGGAGAGAAUCCUAAGACGAGCGGGAGAACCCUUGUUAAGGAACUCGGCAAAAUGACUCCGUAACUUAGGGAGAAGGAGUGCCCAGGAAUGGGCCGCAGAGAAUAGACCCAAGCGACUGUUUACCAAAAACACAGGUCUGUGCGAAGUAGAGAUACGACGUAUACGGGCUGACACCUGCCCAGUGCCGGAAGGUUAAGGGGAAAUGUUAGGGCAACCGAAGCAUGGAACUUAAGCCCCGGUGAACGGCGGCCGUAACUAUAACGGUCCUAAGGUAGCGAAAUUCCUUGUCGGGUAAG